GCCUCUAUAGCUCAGUUGGGAGAGCGUUAGACUGAAGAUCUAAAGGUCACCCGUUCAAUCCGGGUUGGGGGCA